UACGAAGGGGGCUAGCGUUGCUCGGAAUGACUGAGCGUAAAGGGCGCGUAGGCGGAUGGCACAGUCAGAUGUGAAAUUCCCGGGCUUAACCUGGGGGCUGCAUUUGAUACGUGUGAUCUAGAGUGAGGAAGAGGGUCGUGGAAUUCCCAGUGUAGAGGUGAAAUUCGUAGAUAUUGGGAAGAACACCGGUGGCGAAGGCGGCGACCUGGUCCUUGACUGACGCUGAGGCGCGAAAGCGUGGGGAGCAAACAGG
rnacentral:rRNA from 1 species